rnacentral:pre_miRNA from 1 species
UCCUAGUCCCUGAGACCCUAACUUGUGAGGUUUUUUAGUUACAAUCACAAGUCAGGCUCUUGGGACCUAGG